UUGGUCAUUUAGAGGAAGUAAAAGUCGUAACAAGGUUUCCGUAGGUGAACCUGCGGAAGGAUCAUUACCGAGUUAGGGUCCUCUAGGGCUCGACCUCCUACCCUUUGUCUACCUUACCUUUUGUUGCUUCGGCGGAUCCGUCCUUUUGAGGACCGCCGGAGGGUGUAUUCCCUCUGGCCCGCGUCUGCCGACAGCCCACAACCAAAACUCUUGUUUAAACGUGUCGUCUAAGUACAAAAACAAAUAAGUAAAAAACUUUCAACAACGGAUCUCUUGGUUCUGGCAUCGAUGAAGAACGCAGCGAAAUGCGAUAAGUAAUGCGAAUUGCAGAAUCCGUGAGUCAUCGAAUCUUUGAACGCACAUUGCGCCCUUUGGUAUUCCGAAGGGCAUGCCUGUUCGAGCGUCAUUAUCACCCCUCAAGCCCCGUGCUUGGUGCUGGACGGCCUGGUCGAGUCCGCUCGACCCCUCCUAAAGAUAACGACGGCGGCCUGUGGUUCCCCCGGUACACUGAGCUUUUCACCGAGCACGUAUCGGACCAGGGCACCCGGGACCCGGUCUUCUCCCUUCACCGGGAAAUUUUACAAGGUUGACCUCGGAUCAGGUAGGGAUACGCGCUGAACUUAAGCAUAUCAAUAAG
rnacentral:rRNA from 1 species